GCUGGGUGUGGUGGUGCACACCUGUGGUCCCAGCUACUCAGGAGGCUGAGAUAGGAGGAUCCCUUGAGCCCAGGAGGCUGUGGCUGCAGUGAUCUAUGAUCUAGUCACUGCACUACAGCCUGGGCAACAGAGUGAGACCCUGUUCCAA
rfam:Gorilla gorilla gorilla genomic chromosome, chr16, whole genome shotgun sequence